ensembl:lncRNA
AAAGCCAUUGUUGAGAAUUAGUUCCCACAUCAUAUAAAUAUCCAUUAGCCAUUCUAAAUUGUAAGAGAACUCCAGUGUUGCUAUGCGCAAGGAACUCUCCUGGGGGCCUUUUUGCAUAGCAAUUAAAGGUAUGCUUUUUGUCUGUAUCCUUUUUUUUGCAGUGAUUUAAAGACCAAAGUUGUUUUACAGCUGUGUUACCCUUAAAGGUUUUUUUUUUAUGUAUUAAAUCAAUUUAUCACUGUUUGAAGCUUUGAAUACCUGCAAUCUUUGCCAAGAUACUUUUUUAUUUAAAAUAAUAACUGUGUAAAUAUUACCCUGUAAUAUUAUAUAUACUUAAUAAAACAUUUUAAGCUAUUUUGUUGGGCUAUUCCUGUUGCUGCGACAGCCGACCACAAGCACAUUUCUGAGAAAUUUUGUUUUUUAAUAUAUUUCCCUAGUCUUCGUAAUUCUGUAUCAUGGAGAGGGUGAUUCUCAAAAGGAAUGUUUUUACUUAAUAGCUUAAAUAUGUUAUAUACAUGACUCUUAGAAUUUUAUUUAGUAGUUUGAAACAUAGGCAGUGUCUGUUAUAGGUAACUUUUCAUAAUUUUUUUUUCCCCAGAAAACAUCAUGAGAAAAGAGAGGCCUGGGUUCUAGUCCUGACAGGACUGUUCCCUAACAAAUGGUCCUGGCAAAGCACAUAACCUGAGGCUCUGAAAGGUUGUAACAGGAGGAGCAGGAGUCUAUUAGAUGCCUCAUCUAGCAACUUCAAUCUCUCAGAUCAAGAUGUAGAAUUCUCAGUUCCUUCUCUAGCAUGAAUGCUGCCAUGAUUCCCACCAAGAUGAUAAUGGACUAAACCUCUGAACCUGUAAGCCAGUCCCAAUUAAAUGUUUUCCUUUAUAAGAGUUGCUAUGGUCACAGUGUCUCGUCAAGGCAAUAAAAUCCUAACUAAGACACUUAGAAAUUCAGGAAUAAAGGAGGUGAUCAGUUUAUGGUAGAAACUGUAAAGUCAAAUCAUUUACUGGGCCAGGAAUAGAUGACCUCUCAUUUUAAUCUCACAAAACUCUGUGACAGUGGAACCUCAUAGCUAUUGUACCAAUUUUACAAAUGAAAAGGUUGGAGCCCCAAUUGAUGAGGAAGAAUGCCUAAGACAUGG